ensembl:lncRNA
ACCUGAGCUCCAUUUCGUUUGUCAUAGGAAAAGGGUCUGACUACUCAUAACAAGAUCAACACAUUCCGCACUCACUUAUUGGCAGGCAUCACUCAGCCAACUAGGAUAGCUGUUGCUGCUUUAGUUCAACGCUAGUGUUCCUUCUAAACUAAUAACUAAGCUCAGAGCACUAGACUGUCUGAUGAGCAGACCGCAGGCUGUGAGAAUUUGCAACAACACCUACUCCUUCCCUACUCCAAAGCCUUCUGCUUUGCUCCCAGUUCCCCACUGUGUAGCUCCGCACGACACCAACUCUAUCAUGAAGUUUGCUGAUGACACCAAGUUUGUAGGCCUUACAAUGAUGAGUAAGUAAUACAGGAAAUUUAAAAAAAACUGCCACUGUGGUGCAACAACCUCUCGCUCAACAGCAGCAACACAAAGGAGAUGGUUGUUUUCUUCGGGAAUCAGAGGCGGGAACACGCUCCGAUUCAUAUCAAUGGAGCUAUUAAAGGGUGUCAGCAUUUUUAAACGCGUCAGCUUUUACAAGUUGUCUAGAUUGCGCAACAGCGGCUCUUCUCAACCAAAGAAUCUCAGCAUGGGUCCCUUACCUAUCGCUUUCACCAUCCCAAGAACUCAGCCUGCCUGCAGGACGGACGGCACCGGAACUUCACACCUGACAGCAAGACCAGGUAGUCAAUCAUUUAUACUAUUAUUUGUAUUGUUAUUUAUACUGUGUUCUGUUUUCAUUUGUAUGGAUGUUGUUGAUCAUUUGGAUUAAUUUUUUUGUAGCUUUGUCGACUAACAUUGCAUGCUAGUUUUGUCUUCUGUGGUUCGUCUCAUGUAUCCUGUGCAUACGACCAGUAGAAACAUACAAAUCUAAAUUUAACUUCCAUCUGCACGGUUACACAUCACCAGUUUUUACGGCAGUAACAUUUCCUGUGACAGAUUCUUAUAUGCAGAGCAACUUACAGUACUGACAACAGUGAUGCUUACAGUGAAUAAGAGCUUUUUCAAAAGUAAAAUAUUAAUUUUAAUGAGACAAAAUCCUUCUGCAAAAAAAUGAAAGAAUACUUGAACCAAGCAGCAAUAACAACAUAAAUCUGCUGUUAUUGCUUGUGAGGGUUUGCUUUAUAACAAGACAUGGUUCAGUCUAAAUAAGACAACAACAAAUCUUAACAAGCCUGAUAUUCUUGUUUUGGGACUUAUAAUGUUGUAUUGUCUUUUUCAAAGAGUUAAAUUGGACUUGCUUAUAAUAAGCAAACUGGUAAACAAAGACACUGUACAAAAACGUAUGCAGCCACUAAUGUUUCUGCUGAACAACUCACCUUUUGUAUUCAUGUAUUUGUGUGUUUAUAUACACUCAACAAAAUUAUAAACGCAACACUUUUUGUUUUUGCCCCCAUUUAUCAUGGGCUGAAUUCAAAGAUCUAAGACAUUCUCUAAGUACACAAAAGGCCUAUUUCUCUCAAAUAUUGUUCACAAAUCUGUCUAAAUCUGUGUUAGUGAGCACUUCUCCUUAGCCGAGAUAAUCCAUCCACCUCACAGGUGUGGCGUAUCAAGAUGCUGAUUAGACGGCAUGAUUAUUGCACAGGUGUGCCUUAGGCUGGCCACAAUAAAAGGCCACUCUAAAAGCAAAUUUGAAGCAAAUUUCAGUAGUCUCCAAUUGCACAUUUUUGAGCUUUGUUUGUACCCCAGGAGAGGGGUGGGGCCACUGUGAAAUCAUCAACCUACCAGGUUCCAAUGCUCGUUUAUAAAUGCAGAGAUUUCUGUGGUCUGAAGUCGGGGCAAAGACGCAUCCUUUGACUGCGAGAGAGCAACCGAUUCACAAUAAUGUGAAUCAUGUCUUUAAUAAUGUCUUGUUGUGAAAAAUGAAUCUAUGGGUUAAGAACCACUCAAGUUAAACGUUAUUUCACCCAAAUAUGAAACUAGGUCAAACUAGUCCUUUUAAGAUAAUGCAAGAUAGAAAGAAAUGUAGCUGUUUUCACAUUCCUGUUUUCACUCACUUAAAGGGAUAGUUGGUCCAAAAAUCAUAUUUCGGUUACAGUUCCCUUACCCCGAGUUCAUCCUUCUGGCAAAUAGUCAUUUAUUAAAACAAUCCAUUAUUCAUCUCUGUCUCAGUCAUUAAUUAGCGUUAUUAGCAUCGUACAAAUUCAUGAGUGGAAACCGUACGUCCCCCUAUCGCAAAGCUGCAUUGCAAGCGGAAAACUACUCUAUAACAAAAUCCAACAUGAGUAGCAAAUUAAUGUAUGACCGUUUUUAAUGUUCGAACAUGUUUCCUGUGAAUGUUACAGCAUUUGUCAACUAAUUUGUGACUUGUAUUACAUUUGUGAGUGGCCUUACAUAUUUGUGAUUUGCUAAUCAUCCUUUGUUUUUGGAUUUUGACAUAGCUGUGAAAAUAUCCAUAUAUUUCUUGACAGGGAUUUUUAUUUGACAGUUGCAUUAUGUAUUUGUGAUUCGCUGGGUGUAUUUGUGACUCACUACUAACAAGUUAACAACAAUUUGAUAGAAAUGUAGCCCCAUAGGGUCAAGCUCCAUAGACCUCUAUAUGAGUGACUGUUCAACACCCC